rnacentral:rRNA from 15 species
CAGAACACAUUGAACAUCGACAUCUUGAACGCACAUGGCGGCCUCGGGUCCAUCCCGAGGCCACGUCCGUCUGAGGGUCGGCGA